ensembl:misc_RNA 7SK 7SK RNA
CCGGUCUUCGGUCAAGGUUUAUAGGAGUAGCUGCGCUCCCCUGCUAGAACCUCCAAACAAGCUCUCAAGGUCCUUUCUGGUAUUUCUUGAUGGCAUC